rnacentral:rRNA from 1 species
GUUGCAGUUAAAAAGCUCGUAGUUGGAUUUCUGCGGGGGCGGGGCGGCCGGUUGCUUAUAGCAACUCGAGCUAGCACUUCCCCUGCAUCCUGCCGCGAACCGUGCUACCAUUAGUUUGGUGGCGCCGGGGAUCGGCUCGUUUACUUUGAGAAAAAUAGAGUGUUCAAAGCAGGCCACACGCCUUGAAUAAGUUAGCAUGGAAUAAUGAUAAAGGACUUCGGUUCUAUUUUGUUGGUGUUCGGGACUGAAGUAAUGAUUGAUAGGGACAGUUGGGGCGGUCAGUAUUCCAAAGCGAGAGGUGAAAUUCUUAGACCUUCGGAAGACUAACAGCUGCGAAAGCGUUCCGCAAGGAUGUUCCCUUUGAUCAAGAACGAAAGUUGGGGGAUCGAAGACGAUCAGAUACCGUCGUAGUCUCAACUAUAAACUAUACCAGCUAGGGAUCGGCCGACGUUUACUUAUAUCGACUCGGUCGGCACCUUAUGAGA